CAAAUUAUAGCUUAAAUUAAAGUAUUUUAUUUACAUUAAAAAGAUUAUAAAAAAUAUUAUUUGA
rnacentral:tRNA from 1 species